rnacentral:rRNA from 1 species
CCUACGGGAGGCAGCAGUGAGGAAUAUUGGUCAAUGGACGAGAGUCUGAACCAGCCAAGUAGCGUGAAGGAUGACUGCCCUAUGGGUUGUAAACUUCUUUUAUAAGGGGAUAAACUGAGGCACGUGUGCCUUUUUGCAUGUACUGUAUGAAUAAGGAUCGGCUAACUCCGUGCCAGCUGCCGCGGUAAUACGGAGGGUCCGGGCGUUAUCCGGAUUUAUUGGGUUUAAAGGGAGCGUAGAUGGGUUGUUAAGUCAGUUGUGAAAGGUUGCGGCUCAACCGUAAAAUUGCAACUGAUACUGGUAGUCUUGAGUGCAGCUGAGGUAAGCGGAAUUCGUGGUGUAGCGGUGAAAUGCUUAGAUAUCACGAAGAACCCCGAUUGCGAAGGCAGCUUACUAAAGUGUGACUGACAUUGAGGCUCGAAAGUGCGGGUAUCAAACAGGAUUAGAUACCCCGGUAGUC